UUAUUCGAUCAGUAGUAGCUUCCAGUGGAUGCCGAGUAGAUCUCAACAUGUUUUGGUUGCGCCUUGCUCUUGUUUUUCUAGCCGUUUGGCUUGCACUUGUCUCUGUAAAUUCCGAAGAAUCGAACCCGAAGAAUCUGAAGACAUUAGAGAUGCUGGAUGAACGCGAAAGAAUCUGCCGGAAAGGCCGGACCUAUGGCUCUUGUAAAGGAAAACGCAAAAUGUGGAACUUCAAUUUCCGCCGCAAUGAAUGCUUUCCAUUUGCUUAUUCGACCUGUGGCGGAAACCGAAAUCGCUUCCACAGCCAUGAGGCAUGCAUGAAGUUUUGCAGCAAAACGCACUGGGAAAAUCUAACCCAGGUAGAUAAGGUUUAUCCUGCUUGAGCUCUAGUUUUUUUUUUAAUCUACUAAAAUGCUCAAAAAAGGCAAACAAAAACUGAAAUUCCGCUGAUGACUUUUUGAAAAUUAUGAUAAGUGAUCGGAGAAAGUCCAACUCAAAUGUCUUGUGCAAUAUAUUAUUGCCACUAGACAGACGUUCUCGGUAGAUUCUUUUUAAACGCUUUGAAAGGGGGUUCAUCAGUAAUAUAGCCAGAAAAAAUAGUUCUCAACCACUUAAAGCAUCCUUACCUGAAUCCAUAUGAAAGAAUACCUUGAUCUCAAAAAUAAUAAGAGCACAAAAAUCAGUAACAUUACUAAGGUUCCCUUAUUUCGGGCUAAGCAAAUGGGCAAAUGGUCAUUCCUACCCAAAUACUUUGGCACAUAAAAGCUUUUGAACACAUAUCUUAAAAGCCAGUUGGGAAUGGGCUUCUUUGAUUAUUUCUUCAUUUCUUUACCAUUGUUGGAACUAUAAAUGCCAGACGCCUGUGCCUCAGUCGGUCAGUAGCUAACAGGGCUCCAACGAUAGAUCUCGAAAUGUUCUGGCUACGCCUUCCUCUUGUUUUUCUAGCCGUUUGGCUUGUUUUUGGAUACCGCACAAACACACAGUCCAACUUAGACUUCGAGCGGCAGGAUCAGGAGGAAAAGAAAAGGACGAAAAUGCAAAAAGCUAUCUGCAGCAUGGACCCGUCUUUUGGCGGGUGCAAGGGCCAUCGCUCAAUGUGGUACUAUAAUUUCUUAGUGAGUAAAUGCGAGCGGUUCACUUAUUCGAACUGUGGUGGCAACCGAAAUCGUUUCUACAGCUAUCAGGAAUGCAGUGAGCGGUGCUAUUUCAGCUCACAAUAAUUUUAAUAAAAUAUAACUCAGUUUCUCUUAAAAACUAUGAUCUAAUAUUAUUGAUAUUUUAAUUGGUAUACUACUUAUUAUAAUAUAUCCUGUAUUGUAUGUAUGUGCUAUUUUAUUGGACUCCCAUAAAGAUAUAGACUCCUAGAGUA
rnacentral:sRNA from 1 species